AGGUAGCUUGGUUGGUAGCGCGUGUGCUUUGUAAGCACUAGGCCGCGGGUUCGAUUCCCACCCU
rnacentral:tRNA from 1 species